rnacentral:lncRNA from 1 species
UGGAAACAAGAGAGAAGGAAAAAGGAGUAAGGGGUGAGUAGUGAAAGAGAUUGUGGAUGGAGAUGCAGUAGUGCAUGCGACUUCAUGAGAAGGACCUGGGUUAAGCUUUCUGUAGUGCCAAAAAUAACUUCAAGUGGGGGAAUUCAAUCCUUUCAUCAGCACUUGUGUUCGUCUGAGAAUAAAAAUUGGUAUAGACUAUUCGUCGUCUAAGCCGAUGGAAG